GAAAGAUGAAAAGAACUUUGAAAAGAGAGUUAAAUAGUACGUGAAAUUGUUGAAAGGGAAACGAUUGAAGCCAGUCGUACCUGCGGGUAAUCAGCCUUUUGGUCAUGAUUCUGUGGAGCGUGAGGAGUUAAACGCCUUCAUGCCUGCAUAUUCGUGUACUUUGGGUGUACUUGCCUGUGUGGUUAGUUAACAUCAAUUUUGGUUAUCAUAAAAUGGCUGGAGGAAUGUAGCUUCGAUUUCGAUUGAAGUGUUAUA
rnacentral:rRNA from 1 species